CCUUUAAUUGUGGGCUAGAAUGAAUGGACAAACGAAAGGUAAGCUGUCUCUAAUUUACAUAUAAAAAUUGACCUAUAGGUGAAGAGACCUAUAUUAAAAUAAAGGACAAGAAGACCCCGUAGAGCUCUGCCUUUAAUUAAUCAUCAAGAGUAAUUAUUAAUAAUUACUUAAUUUUCUUUAAUUUAGGCUUGGCUGGGGCGGCCAAGGAGAAAAAAUAUCCUCCAUUUUUAUCUAAUUCUUUAGCUCUUCAAGGUUUAUUAACCUUAAUAUAAACUGACCCUUUUCAGAUCAUAAAAUCAAGCUACCUC
rnacentral:rRNA from 1 species